rnacentral:rRNA from 1 species
UACGGAGGGUGCGAGCGUUAAUCGGAAUUACUGGGCGUAAAGCGCGCGUAGGUGGUUUGUUAAGUCGGAUGUGAAAGCCCCGAGCUUAACUUGGGAAUUGCAUUCGAUACUGCCUUACUUGAGUGUGGUAGAGGGUAGCGGAAUUCCUGGUGUAGCGGUGAAAUGCGUAGAUAUCAGGAGGAACAUCAGUGGCGAAGGCGGCUACCUGGACCAACACUGACACUGAGGUGCGAAAGCGUGGGUAGCAAACAGG